CCCUCGUUGCCAUGGAGAUGCUUGCGCUUUCCCGGGCCGCACUUCCCACCUGGGUCUUCAGAAGCCCGUGGCGGCUGGGUGAGCCCUUGCGUGAAUGCACAGGCACGCACACGGCUUCAAGUUGCUCCGCGGAGCCGCGCGCGAUAUCGGCUCGGAUCCCGGGAGUCCGUCCGCCCAUUUUCAGCGGAUAGCUGAGGCCAGUAGAGACGGGAUUUCACCAUGUUUGCCAGGCUGGUCUCAAACUCCUGACCUUGUGAUCUGCCUGCCUUAGCCUCGCAAAGUGCUGGGAUUAUAGGAUAGACCCCCCCACCCGCCGCCCCCGCCAGAUCUGCCUAAGGGCAGAGGCCCGCGAAGUUUGCAUGUGAAAAGAAAAGUGCCUCAGCCUUCAACCCACCAAAAGGGAAGGAGCCUUUUCCAGGCCUGGACACCUGGGGUCAUGCCCCACAUGGGCAGUCUUCUGGCAAGCAACUUUUGGGCUACAAAGUUCCUGAAAUACUCUCAGAUUAAACUCAAUGCAUAUUUAGCAGCCAGCUUAACGACAGAAGCAACGGAAUCACCCUCUGUUCUUCUGACUCCUUCACUGGUCUUAGAAACUUCUCCUGAGCAGAAAGAGGAUUUUCCAUUUCCUCUUUUCCUGGCACAGGGACUCAAAAAGGAAGCAAGACCAGACCAAUUUAAAGGUUAGAUUCUAAAAACAUCUUUAUAUUUUUUAACUUCCCACACUACACCAACAUACGUAUUUUUAUUAAACACACAAGCAUAUCUGAAUUAUGAAUACAUCUAGAUAUGAAUUUUGCUAUUAAUAGUUGUGUCAGCAUCUUUCUUAGACUGUUUUCCAGCAGGGUCUCAAAGGAAGUAAUGGACAUAAAUGGUGCUGCUGAUGGCCUUGGCAGAUCAGCAAGACACAGCAAAUCUGUCAACCCAGCUCAACUGUCGUAGCUGUCCUGUUCCAGCCACUGGUUCAAGCACACCGGUCAGGUGUGCCUUGGAGGCUGUGGGCACGUGACUUCCAAUACAGUGUCACGUGAUGGGCCGCAUCAGGGGUCCACCACCCUGCAUCAUUUGACAUAAACCAGGGAACACGCAGGCUCCAAGGGAUGCCACCUGGUAUCGGAGAGAAGCCACGGGCCCACCCUACCUUCAGAGCAGUCUCAAUGCCCAGCGGCUUGCACUCGAGGACAGCUUUGGCCACAGCAUCACGGAGAGCCUUGUAUUCAUUGCCGUACACCAGGUACCUGUCCAUCUGGCCUGGGUGGUCCUUCUGCAGCCCCAGGAAUACAGAGGGUCAAGUAUUCCUGAAUAUAAUCUUUUACAUCAUCGAAGCUGCAGAAAGAGAAAUAUUAUUCCUGGCUCUCUCAGAUCUGGAGACAUACCUUACUAAAAACAAGAGCAUCUAUCUAUCGGUCAUCUAUCCUGUGUGUGUGUGUAUAAACAUAUACAUACAUGUAUGUAGUUUCUAAGAUUGUAUGGAAAACCUUUUAGCAUAAUACUGGAGGAAUAUAAAACUCACAUUUUAGACCAGCUGUCCUCAAACUUUGGUUUCAGGACCCUUUUAUAGUCUUAAAAAUUGAGAACCCCGAAGAGCUUUUAUGUGGGUUAUAUUAUCAAUAUUUAUGAUAUUAGGAAUUAUGAGACAUUAAAAACAAAAGGUUUCAAAAAUAUUCAUUUAAAAUAACAAUAAAGCUAUUACAUGUUAAAUAACAUUUAAAAUAUUUUCCAAAACAUGAAUCCGUGAGAAGAGUGGCUUGGUCUUCCAUUCCUGUGCUGGCCCUGGGGCCUGGCUCCUGGAAGUCAGCGGCCUGCCUGCCCUGCUCCCCAUCGCUGCGCCAUGUCGGAGAAUAUGAAGAAAAUCUGUCCUCAUAUACUCGGAAUAGCGAGGAACAUUUUAAUAGUUUUUGCAGAUGAUUGUGGAUAUUAUUCCUUAAUGCUGUGCCAACAGUGAUAAACGGUCAUGUCUAAAGCUUAAAAGCUUGAAUGUUACCAUCACCAACCAACAUUGUCAGUUGUUUGGCUGAGGCCGGCUCGCUUUGCUGAUUUCCAGGAGAGGCCUGCCCAGCCUUGGACACCUGUAUCGUGUGCAUCCUUCCUCCCAGCACGAGUGGCAGUCCAUGAACACAGCAGCUGGCUGCUAACUCAGGGCUCGUCAUGAGUGAUUUUCUGCGAGGCAACUGUCUACUCCGGUGUGUAGUGGGAGUGUUUUGUGUGUGCUUCCCAUUUCCACAAAACAUUAAAAAGUCAAAUCCUCAAGAGUCAAGAUUUAGUAAAAAUAAAAUGAAACUGGCAUGAAGAAAACCACGUGUGCAUGGCGGUGAAGAAAACAAUACCUACAGCUACUGUGUCUUCACGUGAGGGGCCAGCAGUUUAACUCAUCACCGCUUUUGUAACAUCAUCAUAAGUAUCAACAUGUUUUUUUAAAAAAGGGCAAAUUUAUCUGAGUAAUCUAAUUUUUAAAAUAGUUUUAACCUCAGAGACCUACUUCACACCCAAGGGUCCAUAUCAACACUUUGAGAACUGCAAUAUUAGAUCAAUACAAGUACCACAGGUGAUACUAUUCUUGGAUGUCAACAUCCUUUCCAAGGAAAUAGAGCCCAUGUUCAGGGGAAUAGAAACUUAGAAGACAUCUAGGACAUUCAGGGAGAGCAGGAUUCUAAGCUACCAUCUGAAAUAUCAGAAAACUGGGCCGCUGUGGAACCAGGCUCAGCAUCGCAGAUUCUGGCCUCUUGAGUUCCGUGUCCCUCACACCACCGUGGUCCCUUCACGGCACUGUUGGCUUCUUGCUAGAUGUGUGCUUGUGGGAAUACUAAAUCAUGUGCCUACAAGUGAAAAUGUCAGAAUAUACAACCAGUACAAGUAACCAGGUUGUGUCUCACGAAAAAGCUCCCCAAGAUCAUGUACUAGCUAUUAGUCAUGACAAGACCACUUGGUAACAAAGAGAAUGCCAUGAUGAGGAAAAAAAGCCAGGGCUUUCUAGAAGCAAGUCUCCUUGUUGUUCUUACC